ACAACUUUAGUUUAAUAAGAAUUAUAGUUUGUCUCACUAUAGGUGGUGUUAACCAAGUUGUU
rnacentral:tRNA from 1 species